GUUUUAUUCACCCAUUUGACUUGCUGCUGCUACUAUUCGAGACUGUUUAAACUAAAUACAGGAAUAAACUUGUGAUUAGAGCUAAUAAGUAUCAGAAUGUACAUAGACACGGGAACAGGAGAGGCAGAACUGGAGAACACAAUGGUAAGUUUAUUUAUGAAGACAGCAGGAUCAAGGCAGUGCAGGUGAGUACUGACUUUGAGUACAGAUUGUGUUCUGACCAAACUGAAUGACAACUUGAGUCUUAUCUGUUGCAGGUGGAGAGAGACACACACAGGGAGCAGAUGAGAUGAGGUGCGCAGAGGGGAUCACCAGGAGAAGACAGAGAGAAAAGGAGUUUACACACAAAAUGACUUGGCGUGGAUAUCCAAGAUACAGCGUCAUUCAGGAAAGUCUCAGCAGACAUUGUACAUCUCCAGCUGCUACAGCGAGUAAACAGAAAUGGCGGUCUGCUGCGGCUCUCUCAGUUUCAGUUUGGAUCCAGCCUCUUAAGAAGACCUCAGAUGACUAAAACUUUGGAAGAGACGGCGCCAACUCCUGCGAUGACUUCAGAAGAUGCAACAUCUGGAUCAACACGCACAUUCACAUUCUAUAAAUCCUAAUUAUUGUUAAUAUGUAAUUCAUUUUUCCAGGAGCUCUUUGCUUCUACCUCCAAUUACAUUGCUAACAGUGAUUGUAUGUUAAUCGCCUAAAUUAUUACAUUAUUAGCUAACUGCAGUCUCCAAAUUGUAAUGUUGACAUGCAUUCUCUGUAAAGCUGCUUUGAAACGAUAUGUAUCGUGAAAAGCGCUAUACAAAUAAAUGUGAAUUGAAUUGAAUUGAAUUGU